GGGGCUGAUUAUGGAUUCGACGGGAUUUGCAAAACCUUAGGAGCAUGCCGAGGUACGGCUGGCCUCGUAAAAAGCCGUAAAAAAUAGUUGCAAACGAUGAAAACUACGCACUAGCAGCCUAAUAAGUUGCUUAGAGCCCUUUCUCCCUAGCCUUCGCUCUUAGGACGGGGAUCAAGAGAGGUUCAACCUAAAAGAGAUCGCGUGGAUAUCUUGUCUGAGGUUAAAGCGUUAAAUGAAAUCAGACUAGUUUGCUAGUGGCGUGUCCAUCUGCCACGCGCAAGUGAAUAUAAAUAUUGGACUAAGCAUGUAGUGCCAACGGAGUAGCAGUUUCGGACGGGGGUUCAAAUCCCCCCAGCUCCACUA
rfam:Serratia symbiotica str. &apos;Cinara cedri&apos;, complete genome.